rnacentral:lncRNA from 1 species
GCAGUGGAUUGCAUUAAUGGGGAAGGGGCAACAAUGGCUGCCUGCCUUUUGUCUGCACCUCUGUGAUCUGAAGCAACAAUCAGUGCUCAGAGCACAGAUCCCUGAUAUUUGGAGAAUAGGGCCCUCUUUACCUCCUCUGGCUCCUGCAAGCUGUUUUCAGGGUUUCAGAAACAGGUGCACAUCAGGUUUGCCAGGUAGUGAGGGGUGGGGGAUGAGUAGCUGCUACGCCGCGAAAAGCUGAAAUCGAUGGAAAUUAACCAUACUUCGCUGUCCAAGCCUUCCCGUGGAAGUUGCAAGCCUUCAAUACACUCCAGAGUUCCAAAAUAGUUAGAGAUUCCACCGACGCAAUUGUUGUCUAGGUCGGGAGACAGAUUCUCGGAGCUUCCAACUCUGCCGUCUUCCCAGUAUCCUCCAAUAAUUCCUUUAGUUUUUUCAAGGCAGUAACUUCAAGGUGUUGUGGUGGAUGUAGAUUUUUGCUGCAAGGAAAUAACAG